rnacentral:lncRNA from 1 species
UAUAAAACUCUCUAAAAAGCUUUGCAAUGAGUGCAUUGGUCUCGCAUGCGAAAUGGUUGACAUAGUAAGUGGUUUUAUAUUGGCCUUUCUUAAACAGUAAC